ensembl:rRNA 5S_rRNA 5S ribosomal RNA
GUCUAUGGCCAUGCCACUCUGAACAAGCCCGAUCCCGUCUGAUCUCGGAAGCUAAGCAGUGUCAGGCCUCGUUAAAUAUUGGAUGGGAGACCACCUAGGAAGAUCAAGUGCUGCUGUAGGUG